AGAGUUUUACCAACUUUGAUGUGGUGGUGGUGGGUGGGGGUUGGUGGACUGACUUUUUAAUGGGUCCCAGUAAGGUUGGUAGGUUUUGGAAUUAUUAUUACAUCCGCAGACACCAUUCUGAAGAGAUGAAUAAUGCAUGGAGGGGCGAGGCCAGCUAAUCCAAGAUAUUGCAUAUUACAAAUACAUCAACAAAAUCCUUUUUU
rnacentral:misc_RNA from 1 species